rnacentral:lncRNA from 1 species
AUUAGGACUAGAUCAAUUAAGUUAUAUAAUCAUACAAUUAUUGUUGAUCAAAUCGAUUGAAUCCCAUAUAUAGAAUCGAUUAACCUAAGGACCUAAUUUGGCUCGAAGAUUUGAACCCAAUUUGUUUGAAUUAACCUAUUUGGACCAAUUGAUCUAUUGAUGUUUAAGGCAAGUAAUUGAGAUAUAAUUAUUUAAUUGAUUUCGUUAGCUGAUCUGAUCAAUUUAUUGGUGUCUAAGGAAAGCAACGGGGGGACCCCCAUCGAUCUCUACUUAUCUGGCCA